GAUGAACGCUGGCGGCGUGCCUAAUACAUGCAAGUCGAGCGAACGGACGAGAAGUUUGCUGCUCUGAUGUUAGCGGCGGACGGGUGAGUAACACGUGGAGAAUGUACCUAUAAGAGUGGUAUAUCUUCGGGAAACCGUAGCUAAGACCGGAUAAUAUUUUGAAGCGCAUGGUUCAAAAGUGAAAGACGGUCUUGCUGGCACUUAUCGAUGGAUCCGCGCUGCAUUAGCUAGUUGGUAAGGUAACGGCCUACCAAGGCGACGUUGCAUAACCGACCUGAGAGGGUGAUAGGCCCCACUGGACCUGAGGCACGGUCCCGACUCCUACGGGAGGCAGCCGUAGGGAAUCUUCCGCAUUGGGCGAGAACCUGACGGAGCCACCCCGCGUGAGUGACGGAGGUCUUCGGCUCGUAAAACUCUCUUCUUAGGGAAGAACAUAUUUGUAAGUCACUGUGCACAUCGUGACGGUAACUACUCAGAAAGCCACGGCUAACUACGUG
rnacentral:rRNA from 1 species